rnacentral:tRNA from 1 species
GUGCCUGUAGCUUAAUGGUAAAGCUCCGCUCUGUGGCAGCGGCGACGUGGGUUCAAUUCCCAUCAGGCACC